UCCGCACUGAAGCGAGAGAGAGAGAAACAUCUUCUUCUUUUUUUUCGUUUUCCCCUCUCUUUUUCAUCGAACUCUUCUUCUCUUUUGCAGGUUCAAUCUGAGAGGAAAAAUUAACUCUCUACUUCUAUCUUACCCUGCAUCUUCAUCUAAAUAAUUAACUGAAGGGGUUUUUGAUUGCAGGAUAAAAUUGUUGAGGUUUUUCUCUAUCUAUGCAACAAAAAGGGUAAACCUAUUUCUCCAUCUCUACAGAAAAAUUGGGUGCUUACAAGUACGUUUCUGAGUUGUGGAGGAAGAAACAAGCCGAUGUUAUGAGGUUUUUGUAGAGGGUUAGGUGCUGGGAGUACCGCUAACAUCCUUCAAGUUGUAUGUGUUACCCGUCCUGGUAAGACUAGACGUUUGAGUUACAAGGUCCAGAAGGUAAUCGAAAGUCUUAAAUCUUGGCUUUAAUUUGUUGUUUUCAGUGCAUUUGAUAUGUUAAAGCUCAUUGAAUCCUGAUUUUCAUCUUAGUCUCAAGUUAAAUUUCGAGUUACUUUGGAAUCAGUUUAUUUGUUGAAUAAAUUGUUUUGAUUUUAUGGUUUUCAUGAAGUCUUAAAUGGUAAAACUGCACCUUUCUCUGGUUUUCUUCAAUGUUUGGAUGGUGUUAGGUAUCGGUUCGCGUAAUGACGUCCGUAGACUUCAAAAAUGUUAAACUCGAAUGAGUUAUUACUCAUUAGUUAUUUGUCAAACUAAGGUGCCUAGACAAGUUUGAGUUGCGUCGUCGGGUUAUGUUUGAUUUUGCAAUGCAUAUUGUGUGUCUUACUUUUCUCAAUGCAUGGAAGUCCAGCUUAUAUAAUUACGUACUAUAUUUUUCUGACUAAUUAUAAUGUUCUAACUAUCUGAUUUAUGUAACCAUAUACAGGUUCUCGAUGAUGCCUUCUUUAAAUAUUAGACCAAGCCUAAGCUAAUGAUAAGCACACAAGUGCGACACUUUUAUACCCGCAUUUAUACUAGCUAGGUCUCGAUAUCUCGCUAAUAACUAUGUUUUAGAGCUUUUACAGGAAUGAUAAGUGAAAUCCGUUCGCCCGGAGAACUAAUGGCCUAGAAGCUAAAUUGGUGCUUGCGACUUGCAAUGCCAAAGGAGUCGGAGCUUGUGGGCUAGCAAGCCAACAAUUUAUGGGCCGCAUCACUUAAGCCAGGAGGUUGAACAAAGAAAUGAUGUCCUUUACCAAACGUGUGAGCUGCACAAGGGGGCUUAGAAAGUGAGACAUGUCCCAUUUUUCCACCUCUUCGGUCUUAUCAAAACAAGAAAAAGAAAUGUUCAAUUUUCUUUCUCAUUUCAAGCUGGUAACAACAGAGAAUGGGAAUUUGAGAUCGAGCUUCAUACUUGAAUGGAAUUCGUCAUCAUCCAAACAGCUACAGCCAAACCAAGGUAGUAUCUUCUCCGUUACCUCUCGUUAGAUGGAGUUCAAGCUCUUCUCUCCAAUUCAUGAGCACCAGAUCUUGAGGCAACAUCAAUGGAUCUGUGUGAGACUGUUGUAGUGUUGGAAUUUAUACGCAGCAGCAACAGCAACAGAGCUACAAAGUUCGUUAUCGGCUGAAAUUGGUUUUGACCUAACUUUUGGUCUUGAUUAAAUGGUGACUGUUUGGGGCGGUUCUGAGUUGUAAACGAAGAUGAAAUCAUGAAGAUGCAGAUGAAGUGUCAAGACUGAAACUUGGUUACAGCAAAGCUAGGUCGUGAUGUUUGUUCGCUGUGAACGGAGAUUGGGUUCAUUCCAUGAGCUUGAUCGAUGGAGAUUUGGGGGUUUCAACAUCAGUUGAUAUUGGGUCUUAAUUUAAUGGUGAUGGACAGCGAAAACAGAUGAUUCUGUGGGUAUUCGAUUGAACGCAGAAAGGUGUUGCUGCCAUGAAUGUUGUGAUUAUGAAAAACAGGUCAGUGGCCGGAGUUGGGAAACAGUUCAGUUAAGAAAGUACUGGUUGCUUGAGUCCAGUGGUGUCUAAAGAUCCCAUAAAACCAACUCCCUGUAAUAUGUGGUACUGUUAAGUGGUUUUGAAUGGUGAAAAACACUUGCUGCUGCUGUUGAUUUAACGGAGUUGGAGAAGGUGUAUAUGUUGACUGAAUUUUGGAAGUCGUCGAGCUGGUGUAGUCGGUGGUGGCUGGAAGUGCAGGGAAAGCAGCUGUGGCGAAGCUUGGUUCAGCUUUUGUGAUCAAUGGCUAGCUUUGUGGUUGGAUGUGAACUGAAAGUAGUCAGGGAGUUUGGCUGAGUUGAUUGCAAAUUGUAUAAGGCAGUCUCAUAUGGAACAAGGAGAUGGAUUCCAAUUGAGUUUUUCUAUAGAGCUUGGAUCAGAGCUAAUCGAGCUGUAAUAGCCAGUGGGUGACGAGACUGUGAAUAUUCUGAAGUACAACUGUAGCCGAUAUGUAGAGUGGUUGUUUGCGAUUCUGCACUUGAAUGUUCUCGACUGAGAACAAACACAGCAGUAACAACUGGUGAAGACGGUGGUACUGCCUGAUUGCAAGUGAUGAUGGUGGCUGGGCAACCUGCGGUGGUGUUUUGUAAGAUGGAGAUGCUGGUGUUGGCUGCAUCAGUUCAGUGGAUCUGAAAUGGUCGUGACCAGUGGUGCUGAGAUGAUUGGAUUGAGCUGGUUGUUGGUGGUAUUGGUCAUGGCUGUGAACAAGGAGGUGCAGACAGUGGCCAGACUUAUUGUUGGCCUGGAGUUCUGUUUUUGGACUGGGCUUUGGUGUGUGCUGGCGUCCGUCACCAGAGGAGAGUUUGGAUGGCUAUUUAACCUGGCGUGAAGAGAAGAAAAGAUACACCGAAUACAGGGAAGAAACUAGGGUUUGCAUUUAUCUUUACUUUUCGAUUUGCAUAACUUGAUUUAUUCCUGAAUCAUUUUCUAUGGCUUUUAAGAAAGCUAUGUCUAGCUAAACUCUUCAUUAGGGUGAAAGAUGAACUUGUAGUUUUGAUUUAUUUGUGUUCUAAAAUAGAGGUUUUCAACAACUAAAGCUUAAUGUCAAUUGUUUGAGUUUCUCUUAAUGUUUUAUUUUCUUUUCAACUUCUCAUGUUCUAUGCCAUAUAUAGUUCAUUGUUAGGUUGAUAGAAAUACUCAUUUAAACCUUGUUAUCGAUUGAUUUAUGAACAUCCCGAGACUAUGUAUGCCAUGUAUGCUUAGUACUAGGGACUUCUACCUUAGGUUGAGAACAAACAAUCUUUUAUGAUAACUCUUCUCUAAAGAUCAUUAAUGAAAUAUCUUCCGUGUGUGAGUAGCAAGUAAAGCCUAGCUUACAACGGAUUCUGUAGCCCUAAUAAUUCUACAUCUUUGAUUACAAUCUUAAUUAAUUUGCUUUGAUUCACUUUGUUAGUUUACAAGAAUUCUGAAAUCUCCAUUUUGAAAUAUUCUUGACUCGAAAGUAACUAGUAUUGAUUGGAAAUAGUGUUUGUCACUCCUCGUGGGAACGAUCCCUAUUUGCCACUAUUCACAUGUAGUGCACCGUAUACUUGCGGUUAAUUAAAGUCGGUUCUCCGAUUCAUCAGCUAACAAUUCAUGGCGAGCUCUAUCACGAAGGGAAGUGUUUGAGGUAUUAAUUCUGUCACUUAUGUUCUUCAUUUACUUGAGCUCAUAAAAACCAAUCUACUAGUCGUACUGUUUACUUGAGGUGUAAAUUGUGUUACUGAAUGACAAGAAGUCAUCCAGAAUUUUUGUCAAACAAAAUUGGGUGUUCAGUGCUCUUAAGGAUUCUGAUUUUGGAUUUCUAAUUCUUAUCAAACAAAAUUGAAUGAGUUAUGUGGUAUUUAUGAUUCUAAUAUUGGGUUUGAUUUGUUAGUUUUAAUAGGCUUGUAUUGAUUAUUUUGUGGUUUUGUAUGAAUAAUUUUUGGUGCAUGAUUGAGAUGUACAUGAUGAAAGAAAAUUAGGAACCACUGGUGGUGCUAUAUGUGUGUUCUGAUGAAAGUGCUGGUGGUGAUGGUAGUGAGAUCUUCCUAUCAACGAUAAUGGGUUGAAGAUAAUACGGAGCUUGUUCUUUCUGGAUACCUAGUUGGUUCCUGCUUUCAUGUCCAUAAGCAGAGAUCCAGAUGAAAGAUACAGAGAACAAAGGUCAGUGGCUCAAGUAAAGAGUGGGUUUAAUUGUGGUAAGUUUCUUGGAUUUGGUGAGCUUGGUGGUCCCUCUUUAUUUGCUGUCGAGGAGUACUCGCUUCACUCUGGAUAUCUAGCGAAAUCAAAUUAUCUCAAUCUUUUUAAAAUUGCAGAGUUGAGAUUUGUUGUAACUGGUGGUGGUAGUUGGGUCUAUGCGUGGCCGGUGGGGAUUGGAAAGUGGGAUGAUAGAUGAUUCCCAACUAUCCUUGUACAGGAUGAGAAGAACAUCAACAGUCUUAUAGGUUUUGUUUUCACAUAUACUGUUGAGAAAGACAACUUGAAGAUCCUUGGAGAUGGCAUAUAUAUUUAGUUUGUUCAGUGAGUAUUGAGGUUGAGAAAUCUACUAGCUUGGCUAGAAUUUUUUCAGCUUCUCAAGUUAUAUGUAGAUGCAUAAAUAGAGCUUGGGUUGGUCUUGGAGAAGCUCUUGAAGGUAGCAUCGAGAAUAAGAUUCAUGGGUUACCGCUGAGUCCAUUUGAUCAAAUUUAUUGGAUUUGUGACUUCCAGAACAGAGUUUCCUAAUCAAUGUAAGGGUAGCUACGAACCGAAGGAAGAAGUUGGUGAUUCGGAUUAGGAGUUUCCUGCAUCACAGUAAUGACAUGGUUCUGAUAACCUCUAGAUUUAUCUAACUUCCAAACAUAUAGGUAGGUGAAUGGACACAACACCCAGUUGAGAGAGGCAUUUAAGUCUGUCACGGCAGACCAGAAGUAUCCUUAAGCGUGUGAUUCCAAGCAUCGCCACUAGAAUUUUAAGAGAUAUCCAAGAUGGGAAGCGCUUACACUAUCUAGAGAGAGGACUUGUUUGAGUACGGCGACCGGGAAUAUCUCGGUUUGCUGGUUUGUAGUUUUCUUUAUGAACCCAAGAACUUAGAUAUGACUUGUAUGAAUUCAGAUUUGAUUACUUCACUUUGAACUGUGUAAGAAAUACAAUAAUUUUUAUUUGAAUGGCCAUUUGAAUU